AACUUUUCGAAUCCGUGCUAAGUUUUCAUCAGACACUAACCUAUUAGUGCUGGUUACACUUCCAAGAUAAAUGAAGUU
rnacentral:pre_miRNA from 1 species